rnacentral:rRNA from 1 species
GUGAGGAAUUUUCCGCAAUGGGCGAAAGCCUGACGGAGCAAUGCCGCGUGAAGGAUGAAGGCCUAUGGGUUGUAAACUUCUUUUCUCAGAAAAGAAUUAUGACGGUAUCUGAGGAAUAAGCAUCGGCUAACUCUGUGCCAGCAGCCGCGGUAAGACAGAGGAUGCAAGCGUUAUCCGGAAUGAUUGGGCGUAAAGCGUCUGUAGGUUGUUUAAAAAGUAUUCUGUCAAAGAUUAGGGCUUAACCCUAGAUAGGCAGAAUAAACUUUUAAGCUAGAGUUUGGUAGAGGCAGAGGUAAUUCCCGGUGGAGCGGUGAAAUGCGUAGAUAUCGGGAGGAACACCAAAGGCGAAGGCACUCUGCUGGGCCAAUACUAACACUGAGAGACGAAAGCGAGGGGAGCAAAUGGGAUUAGAUACCCGGGUAGUCC